GUCCAGACUCCUACGGGAGGCAGCAGUGGGGAAUAUUGCGCAAUGGGGGCAACCCUGACGCAGCAACGCCGCGUGAUUGAAGAAGGCCUUCGGGUUGUAAAGAUCUUUAAACAGGGACGAAGAAAUGACGGUACCUGAAGAAUAAGCUCCGGCUAACUACGUGCCAGCAGCCGCGGUAAUACGUAGGGAGCAAGCGUUAUCCGGAUUUACUGGGUGUAAAGGGAGCGUAGACGGCGAGGUAAGCCUGAAGUGGAAGCCCGCGGCCCAACCGCGGAACUGCUUUGGGAACUGUUUUGCUGGAGUAUGGGAGGGGUAAGCGGAAUUCCUGGUGUAGCGGUGAAAUGCGUAGAUAUCAGGAGGAACACCGGUGGCGAAGGCGGCUUACUGGACCAUAACUGACGUUGAGGCUCGAAAGCGUGGGGAGCGAACAGGAUUAGAUACCCCCGUAGC
rnacentral:rRNA from 1 species